AGCCUAUUAGCUCAAUUGGUAGAGCUUUGUGCAUUCCACAAUUAUGUAGGUUCGAAUCUUACAUAGGCAA
rnacentral:tRNA from 1 species